UGUCACGCGCUGGUGGACUAGGGUAAUUGGGGUUGUACAGGUUGUAGUGGACGCGCGGCAGGAGUCCAUGCAGAGGGGAGAUGGAGUCAUCCUGAUGAGCGGUGGUGGGGAUGCCGACGAAGUGUUGAGUGUGGGAAGGUGGCGGCGGCGCGUGAGGGGAGAUGGCAGAGGAGUUGAGGAAAAUGAGGCUGUUGUGAGCCGGCGCCGGCGCCGGAGGAUGAUUUGUGUCGGAGAAUUGUUGGUGUUGCUGUUGUUGUUGUUGAACGUAAGUUGUAGGGUUCAUAAGUACGAGGGUUUGAAGCCCAUCUGGGGCUUGAAACUCAGCUGGGUUCCCAUGAAAGUACGUUGCCAUCCUGUUACCUUAUUAUUUUGAUCUUGA
rnacentral:lncRNA from 1 species